rnacentral:rRNA from 1 species
UCUGGUGGCCUGAGCGGCGUGCCCAACACCCGAUCCCAUCUCGAACUCGGCCGUGAAACACGCCAGCGCCCAUGGUACUGUGUCUCAAGACACGGGAGAGUCGGUCGCCGCCAGAC